rnacentral:rRNA from 1 species
GUGCAGCAGGCGCGAAACCUCCGCAAUACACGAAAGUGUGACGGGCCAUCCCGAGUGCCGUCCGCUGAGGACGGCUUUUCCCCAGUGUACACAGCUGGGGGAAUAAGGAGAGGGCAAGCCUGGUGUCAGCCGCCGCGGUAAUACCAGCUCUCCGAGUGGUGGGGACGCUUAUUGGGCCUAAAGCAUCCGUAGCCGGCUGGGCAAGUCCUCCGUUAAAUCCAACGAUUCAAUCGUUGGGCUGCGGGGGAUACUGUCCAGCUUGGGGGCGGGAGAGGCCGACGGUAUCCCCGGGGUAGGGUGAAAUCCUAUAAUCCCGGGAGGACCACCAGUGGCGAAGGCUGUCGGCUAGAACGCGCCCGACGGUGAGGGAUGAAAGCUGGGGGAGCGAACCGGAUUAGAUACCCCCGUAGU